UCCCUGGCUUCGGGAGUUUUCUCUGCAGUUCUCUGCCCGCCCCUUUGCGGCCCAGAUCCCAGUCGCCGCGGCCUGCGUGGAACUCUGCGCGAGCUGAAUCUCCUGCUGCAGGACGAGCCCCGACCCCGAGCCCGAUCCCCUCCGCGGUCCCAGCCUCUUUGUCCGAUCGCAUUUUCCAUCUCCUCUGCCAGGAAUGCUCUCCCAACCAGAGCAAAUCCAGAUGUCCCCUCGGCGACUGUGGGCACCCUCCCCAGCUGUGGAGCCUUCGCACGCCUUCCUCAGAGUCCGUGGUUGUAAAAUUUGUUUUGCUCUAAAGUAUUUGACUGUCUCCCUCACUAGAUCCUGAGGGUUUUAGUGAGUGCCUCAGUGUGAGCACAUGCAGGCACUGCUAGGCGCCUGUAGUUGAUUCUUAGUUAAUACAAGUGAAUAAUCACAACUAGACCUUAAAUUGCAGGGACUAUGUGACAGGCACUUUUUAAAAUGCUUUAUACGUGUUGAUUUAAGUGUAAUCGUCACAAGAACCCUGCGAGGAAGAUAGGACAGCAAGUGCCCUGUUCCUGUUUGUAAACGUGCCCGACACUCUGCAACAACACCUACAACAGAACCGUGCUAGUUUUGGGGGUUCGCAAUAAAAGUUUCUGUUUGAACGGAUCCUAGAGUGUGCAGGGACACAGCAAUGGAAGACCUGGUCCCUUUGUCUGUACUUAGUCUAUAGCCAGUUCAUUGUGAGAAAUUUCUUUAGAUCGACACCUGCCACUGUUAGUCCGGGUUUCCCAGUCUGUCCUUUCUAACUCCCUUCCUGCCUUACCCCCUAAAAAGCUACCUCCCCUCUUCCCACUCCUGAUAAUGAACACUAUGUACUUUCCACGUUCAAAGCAUGCCACACUCCCUCUCUCCCUCACCUUGGCCUCCCUAACCCAGGCUUGUCCUAGUGAAAUCACUUGCAAAGCCUGCUAACCCUUUCAACUUGCUGUGUUUUCUCCAUCAAACACAAUUUUCAUCAAACAUCCCCCAGGAGCACCUUAAAUGACUUCCUUUUGCCUAGGUUCUGAUUUAGCUUUCUCAAUAAGGACCUCAAAGUCAAGUUCCUAGUGCCACACUAACUCUCUACC
rnacentral:lncRNA from 10 species